rnacentral:lncRNA from 1 species
UGGGAAGGAAGAGCCGGGUCAAUAAUUGGGCCCAGGUCUUGCACUCACACUGCAAUCAGACUGACUCUACUUUCGUCUGUUUUAGUCAUUUGAGCUUCUAAGAUGCUCAGUCAUUUGAGCUGCUAAAAAUGUUUGAGAAACUACAAUGGACAAGACUUUCUGUAAAGGAGUUUCCAUGUUUAAUGCCCUCUGCCUUUAUUCUUCUUGCCAUCUUGCCUAUCCACAGCAAGCCUCAGUUCUAGGCAUAGCCUGCCAUUCCUGAUCUUGGAAGGACAUUUGAGCACGGGGUGAGAGAUGGACAUCCCUUGAAAGGGGACUACAGUUCGGGUCUUUGCACGUGGUGGAGGUUGCUAAAGUGGAAGCCAAAAUCCCUUUCCUCUUCAGAAGGUGCUUCCUUCCCCUCUGCCUUUUGCCGUGAUUGUAAGUUUCCUGAGGCCUCCCAGCCAUGCUUCCUGUACAGCCUGCAGAACUGUGAGUCAAUUCAACCUCUUUUCUUCAUAAAUUAC